UUUAUUGGAGAGUUUGAUCCUGGCUCAGGAUGAACGCUGGCGGCGUGCCUAAUACAUGCAAGUGGAGCGAAUGGAGUAAGAGCU
rnacentral:rRNA from 1 species